CAAAUCCAAACGAGAGUGAAUACACAAACAAGAGCACAGACGUAUGGAGGGGAAAACUACUCUAUGUUUCCUCACGGUGCUUCUGCUGCUAGGAAAUUGUGCUGAUGCUGAGACCUGCAAAGAGCACCGUGCUAACAAGGGCGCAGCGUGCAUAAAUGAAGGUUGUUGGGCAGACUGCGCCAGAGACUACCAUGGACAUUAUGUCAAGAAUGCUUAUUGUACCGGCGUUUACCCCUUCACAAAAGUCUAUUGUGUCUGCGACGUUUGUGAAGAGUAGGAGACAAUGCAACAUCGCAUUACGGGGUCCAUUUACACAGAGGAUUCUUGAAGUUUGGCAAUAAUAAAUUUUGUCUGUGUAAACGUGUGAACAUGAUUACUGCCUAGCUAGUUAAUUUGUAACGUGGUUGUUUUUGCAUGAACACCAUCAUGUUUUAUUCACAGAUUCCGUGUGCCUUCA